rnacentral:tRNA from 1 species
GGGGGAGUGCAGGUUCUGGAGCUAGAUUGCCUGGGUUCAAAUCCCAGCUCCUCCA